rnacentral:rRNA from 1 species
UACGAGGGGGGCAAGCGUUGUUCGGAAUUAUUGGGCGUAAAGGGCGCGUAGGCGGUGCGGUAAGUCACCUGUGAAAUCUCCGGGCUUAACUCGGAGUCUGCAGGCGAAACUGCCGUGCUGGAGUAUGGGAGAGGUGCGUGGAAUUCCUGGUGUAGCGGUGAAAUGCGUAGAUAUCAGGAGGAACACCUGCGGUGUAGACAGCUUUCUGGACCACGACUGACGCUGAGACACGAAAGCGUGGGUAGCAAACAGG